ACGGGUGCGUAACGCGUGGGAAUCUGCCCCUUGGUUCGGAAUAACAGUUGGAAACGACUGCUAAUACCGGAUGAUGACGUAAGUCCAAAGAUUUAUCGCCGAGGGAUGAGCCCGCGUAGGAUUAGGUAGUUGGUGUGGUAAAGGCGCACCAAGCCGACGAUCCUUAGCUGGUCUGAGAGGAUGAUCAGCCACACUGGGACUGAGACACGGCCCAGACUCCUACGGGAGGCAGCAGUGGGGAAUAUUGGACAAUGGGCGAAAGCCUGAUCCAGCAAUGCCGCGUGAGUGAUGAAGGCCUUAGGGUUGUAAAGCUCUUUUACCCGGGAUGAUAAUGACAUAACCGGGAGAAUAAGCUCCGGCUAACUCCGUGCCAGCAGCCGCGGUAAUACGGAGGGAGCUAGCGUUAUUCGGAAUUACUGGGCGUAAAGCGCACGUAGGCGGCUUUGUAAGUAAGAGGUGAAAGCCCAGAGCUCAACUCUGGAAUUGCCUUUUAGACUGCAUCGCUUGAAUCAUGGAGAGGUCAGUGGAAUUCCGAGUGUAGAGGUGAAAUUCGUAGA
rnacentral:rRNA from 1 species